rnacentral:rRNA from 1 species
AACGCGAAGAACCUUACCAGCUUUUGACAUGCCCGGUAUGAUCGCCAGAGAUGGCUUUCUUCCCGCAAGGGGCCGGUGCACAGGUGCUGCAUGGCUGUCGUCAGCUCGUGUCGUGAGAUGUUGGGUUAAGUCCCGCAACGAGCGCAACCCUCGCCCUUAGUUGCCAUCAUUAAGUUGGGCACUCUAGGGGGACUGCCGGUGAUAAGCCGCGAGGAAGGUGGGGAUGACGUCAAGUCCUCAUGGCCCUUACAGGCUGGGCUACACACGUGCUACAAUGGCGGUGACAAUGGGAUGCGGAAGGGCGACCUCGAGCAAAUCUCAAAAAGCCGUCUCAGUUCGGAUUGCACUCUGCAACUCGAGUGCAUGAAGGUGGAAUCGCUAGUAAUCGCAGAUCAGCACGCUGCGGUGAAUACUUUCCCGGGUCUUGUACACACCG